rnacentral:rRNA from 1 species
UACGGAGAGUCCAAGCGUUAUCCGGAAUCAUUGGGUUUAAAGGGUCCGUAGGCGGUUUUGUAAGUCAGUGGUGAAAGCCCAUCGCUCAACGGUGGAACGGCCAUUGAUACUGCAAGACUUGAAUUAUUAGGAAGUAACUAGAAUAUGUAGUGUAGCGGUGAAAUGCUUAGAGAUUACAUGGAAUACCAAUUGCGAAGGCAGGUUACUACUAAUGGAUUGACGCUGAUGGACGAAAGCGUGGGGAGCGAACAGG